rnacentral:rRNA from 1 species
AACGAACGCUGGCGGCAGGCUUAACACAUGCAAGUCGAACGCCCCGCAAGGGGAGUGGCGCACGGGUGAGUAACGCGUGGGAAUAUGCCCUUCGGUUCGGAAUAACACGGGGAAACUUGUGCUAAUACCGGAUACGAUCUACGGAUGAAAGAUUUAUCGCCGGGGGAGUAGCCCGCGUAGGAUUAGCUAGUUGGUGAGGUAAUGGCUCACCAAGGCGAAGAUCCUUAGCUGGUCUGAGAGGAUGAUCAGCCACACUGGGACUGAGACACGGCCCAGACUCCUACGGGAGGCAGCAGUGGGGAAUAUUGGACAAUGGGCGAAAGCCUGAUCCAGCCAUGCCGCGUGAGUGAUGAAGGCCUUAGGGUUGUAAAGCUCUUUCGCCAGGGAAGAUAAUGACGGUACCUGGAAAAGAAGCCUCGGCUAACUCCGUGCCAGCCGCCGCCGUAAAAC